rnacentral:rRNA from 1 species
UACGUAGGUGUCAAGCGUUGUCCGGAUUUAUUGGGCGUAAAGCGCCCGCAGGCGGCUUGCCAAGUUCGAUGUGAAAUCUCCCGGCUCAACUGGGAGGGUGCAUCGAAAACUGGCAGGCUUGAGGCAGGGAGAGGGAUGUGGAAUUCCAGGUGUAGUGGUGAAAUGCGUAGAUAUCUGGAGGAACACCGGUGGCGAAGGCGGCAUCCUGGACCGGUAUUGACGCUGAGGCGCGAAAGCUAGGGGAGCAAACGGG